UCCCCCGUGGCGCAAUUGGCUAGCGCGUCUGACUGUUAAAAUAACGUAAUCAGGAGGUUGGUGGUUCAAGCCCACCCGGAGGAG